rnacentral:rRNA from 1 species
UACGGGGGGGGCAAGCGUUGUUCGGAAUUACUGGGCGUAAAGGGCGCGCAGGUGGCUUGGCAAGUCGAGUGUGAAAUCCCUUGGCUUAACUAAGGAAUGGCGCUCGAAACUACCUCGCUGGAGGGCGGGAGAGGGAAGUGGAACUCUCGGUGUAGGGGUGAAAUCUGUAGAUAUCGAGAGGAACACCGGUGGCGAAGGCGGCUUCCUGGCCCGUACCUGACGCUGAGGCGCGAAAGCGUGGGGAGCAAACAGGA